GCUUAACACAUGCAAGUCGAGCGGGCGUAGCAAUACGUCAGCGGCAGACGGGUGAGUAACGCGUGGGAACGUACCUUUUGGCUCGGAACAACACAGGGAAACUUGUGCUAAUACCGGAUAAGCCCUUACGGGGAAAGAUUUAUCGCCGAAAGAUCGGCCCGCGUCUGAUUAGCUAGUUGGUGAGGUAAUGGCUCACCAAGGCGACGAUCAGUAGCUGGUCUGAGAGGAUGAUCAGCCACAUUGGGACUGAGACACGGCCCAAACUCCUACGGGAGGCAGCAGUGGGGAAUAUUGGACAAUGGGCGCAAGCCUGAUCCAGCCAUGCCGCGUGAGUGAUGAAGGCCCUAGGGUUGUAAAGCUCUUUUGUGCGGGAAGAUAAUGACGGUACCGCAAGAAUAAGCCCCGGCUAACUUCGUGCCAGCAGCCGCGGUAAUAC
rnacentral:rRNA from 1 species